GAAGUGGUUUAGGAUGCACAUUUUUCCCCGUCUUAUCGAUUAUGGUGACAACUAACUAAGGAUAAGCCAAUUUGGUCUGAAACCACAUC